rnacentral:rRNA from 1 species
AUGCGUACGGGUUCUGAGGAGGAACGGUCCCCACACUUGGGUACUGAGACACGGACCAGACUCCUACGGGAGGCAGCAG